UACCACUUGCGAUAUAGGCGUAAACGGAAGGAUAAUAUUAAAAUGUUUGUAUGAUCUAGAGUAUGUGAGAAGAGUUCAACUACCGACUUUUAUGAAUAAGGAGGGCACCCCAGAAGAUCAGGCGAGCUCAUAACCGAAAAGUAUGACCCUGCAGGAAACACGUGGACCGAGAUCCCUGCCAUGAACUUCUAUUCAUGUGACUUAAACGCAGAAGUGAACGACGACACGAUCUUCGUCAUCGGUUGUUAUUACGAAACGGACACAAUCAGUGACGACAGUUACGACGACAAGGAACAUAAAUGGUACAAGGUGACAAACAAGAAUGUUUCUAGAUACUUCCUGUCGACUUGUGUCGUCAAGAACCUACCUAAUGCAAGCGAUUACGAUUAUAAACACAGAGACAAUUUAAUGAAGCAGCCAUGCGCAAAGUACAGAAAUAGGAAAAAAGUGAUAAUAUUAAUUUAGUUAGUCAUAGCUGCUUUCAGAUUUCUUCAGAACCGACUUACCAAAAAUUUAUCAUAUAAACAUAGUGACUGUCAAGUGCAAUCCUGAACAACUUCUGCUGAUUGAAAACUCUGUUGUGUAUUACAAUGAAGGGCUCUUUAAGUUAUUUUGCACCAAUUUAUUAAGAAUAACGCAUAGAAAAGUAUAAAAUGAGUUUCAUAGACAAAAGUCAAAGGAGAACUAAAGGUAAGAUUUGUUUUUGUGUUGUUAUAAACUGUCUGGAACAUUAAAAAAAUUUCAAAAUGUUAAAAACUUGAAGAAUUUAUGACUUAAUCGUAAUUUUGACAUUUUUAAAUUAUAAAUUUGAUGGUUUGCGGAAUUGUUCACAAGUUUAUA